GACGAACGCUGGCGGCGUGCUUAACACAUGCAAGUCGAGCGGUAAGGCCCUUUCGGGGGUACACGAGCGGCGAACGGGUGAGUAACACGUGGGUGACCUGCCCUCAGCUCUGGGAUAAGCCUGGGAAACCGGGUCUAAUACUGGAUAUGACUCCAUGACGCAUGUUGUGGGGUGGAAAGCCUUGUGCGGCUGAGGAUGGGCCCGCGGCCUAUCAGCUUGUUGGUGGGGUGAUGGCCUACCAAGGCGACGACGGGUAGCCGGCCUGAGAGGGCGACCGGCCACACUGGGACUGAGACACGGCCCAGACUCCUACGGGAGGCAGCAGUGGGGAAUCUUGCGCAAUGGGCGAAAGCCUGACGCAGCGACGCCGCGUGAGGGAUGAC
rnacentral:rRNA from 1 species